UCCUAGUUUCCCAGGCAGUCCCAUCAGAGUGCCUUCUUGCGAAGUAGCAACUGAUGGCAGGGGUUGCGCUCGUUAUAGGACUUAACCCAACAUCUCACGACACGAGCUGACGACAGCCAUGCAGCACCUGUGUAUAUGUCUUUGGUUUCCCAAAGAACACUCUAUCUCUAGAGCUGUCAUAUACAUGUCAAACCUAGGUAAGGUUCCUCGCGUAGUGACGAAUUAAACCACAUGUUCCACCGCUUGUGCGGAUCCCCGUCAAUUCCUUUGAGUUUUAAUCUUGCGAUCGUAAUCCCCAGGCGGAUCACUUAACGCGUUAGCUACGACACCAAUUCUGCAGAGCAGAACCAACGUCUAGUGAUCAUCGUUUACAGCGUGGACUAC
rnacentral:misc_RNA from 1 species